CGGGAGCAGAGACCGGCGCACGGGUGCGUAACGCGUAUGCAAUCUACCUUUCACAGAGGGAUAGCCCAGAGAAAUUUGGAUUAAUACCUCAUAGUAUUAUUGAAUGGCAUCAUUUAAUAAUUAAAGUCACAACGGUGAAAGAUGAGCAUGCGUCCCAUUAGCUUGUUGGUAAGGUAACGGCUUACCAAGGCAACGAUGGGUAGGGGUCCUGAGAGGGAGAUCCCCCACACUGGUACUGAGACACGGACCAGACUCCUACGGGAGGCAGCAGUGAGGAAUAUUGGACAAUGGGCGCAAGCCUGAUCCAGCCAUGCCGCGUGCAGGAUGACGGUCCUAUGGAUUGUAAACUGCUUUUAUACAGGAAGAAACACUCCCUCGUGAGGGAGCUUGACGGUACUGUAAGAAUAAGGAUCGGCUAACUCCGUGCCAGCAGCCGCGGUAAUACGGAGGAUCCAAGCGUUAUCCGGAAUCAUUGGGUUUAAAGGGUCCGUAGGCGGUUUAAUAAGUCAGUGGUGAAAGCCCAUCGCUCAACGGUGGAACGGCCAUUGAUACUGUUAAACUUGAAUUAUUAGGAAGUAACUAGAAUAUGUAGUGUAGCGGUGAAAUGCUUAGAGAUUACAUGGAAUACCAAUUGCGAAGGCAGGUUACUACUAAUUGAUUGACGCUGAUGGACGAAAGCGUGGGUAGCGAACAGGAUUAGAUACCCUGGUAGUCCACGCCGUAAACGAUGGAUACUAGCUGUUGGGAGCAAUCUCAGUGGC
rnacentral:rRNA from 1 species